rnacentral:rRNA from 1 species
GUGACCUCAAAUCAGGUAGGACUACCCGCUGAACUUAAGCAUAUCAAUAAGCGGAGGAAAAGAAACUAACAAGGAUUCCCCUAGUAACUGCGAGUGAAGCGGGAAAAGCUCAAAUUUAAAAUCUGGCAGUCUUUGGCUGUCCGAGUUGUAAUCUAGAGAAGUGUUAUCCGCGCUGGACCGUGUACAAGUCUCCUGGAAUGGAGCGUCAUAGAGGGUGAGAAUCCCGUCUUUGACACGGACUACCAGGGCUUUGUGAUGCGCUCUCAAAGAGUCGAGUUGUUUGGGAAUGCAGCUCAAAAUGGGUGGUAAAUUCCAUCUAAAGCUAAAUAUUGGCGAGAGACCGAUAGCGAACAAGUACCGUGAGGGAAAGAUGAAAAGAACUUUGGAAAGAGAGUUAAACAGUACGUGAAAUUGCUGAAAGGGAAACGCUUGAAGUCAGUCGCGUUGUCCAGGGAUCAACCUUGCUUUUGCUUGGUGCACUUUCUGGUUGACGGGUCAGCAUCAAUUUUGACCAUUGGAAAAAGAUUAGGGGAAUGUGACAUCUUCGGAUGUGUUAUAGCCCUUGGUUGCAUACGAUGGUUGGGAUUGAGGAACUCAGCACGCCGCAAGGCCGGGUUUUUAACC